UAUCAUUUAGAGGAAGGAGAAGUCGUAACAAGGUUUCCAUAGGUGAACUUGCGGAAGGAUCAUUGUCGAAACCUGCAACAGCAGAACGACCCGCGAAUGUGUUAAAACCACGGCUGGGCGGACAAUGGCCCCCCGUGCGCCCCAGGCACGUGGUCGGUCCAAAAAAUGAGUCACCGGUAACCGACGUCACGACAGGUGGUGGCAAAGAAGCCAUGUGCUUCGAUUCACGUUCUGUCGUACCGUCGAACGCCUGGGAGCUACAGCGACCCUGACGCGCCGUCCCGACGACGCAUCGACCGCAACCCCAGGUCAGGCGGGACUACCCGCUGAGUUUAAGCAUAU
rnacentral:misc_RNA from 1 species